CAAUCUGUCCUCUAAAGGUCGCAGUCUGUCCUCUGAAGAUCACAAUAUGUCCUCUGAAUGUCACAAUGUGCUGUCCCCUGAAGGUCACAUUCUGUCCCCUGAAGGUCACAUUCUGUCCCCUGAAGGUCACAUUCUGUCCCCUGAAGGUCACAGUCCAUCAAUUGCUCUUUCCACAGAGACAUGGAGUAUCACAUGACCUCUGGCGCCCUCUGUUGGUGAAGACAGUAACAGCGGGUGAUCUAAAGCGUGCUCUUAGCUCGCACCAUGUCCUGGUGGAAGGCAGCUCGUCUCUGGCAUCCAGUCAGAGGGAAGACAGAGGUUGGAGACAUGGAACGAAGAUGCCACAGAGAUAGAGAGGGAC